GGCGGCCAAGCCACAUAAGAGCGGAACACAUCGCCUCACGGCCCAAGCUGGGCACCGCCUGACGGACGGCCCCACGCCAGACCGAGGCCAGCCAGCACUGGGGGACGGGAGUGCGAUAAGGGAUCUUCCCCCACCACCAACCUAAGGCACAAAUUGGUAGGCCACGAUUCCCGGCGCGGCGCGGUAGCAGCAACGGGAACAAUAAAGCUUCAACAACAGCCAGCCCACCCGCCGGCGGCGCCGGGCCUCGCUUGCGCGCCGCCAUCUUGAGGCCACAGAUAAUCCCGGCUCUGCCCCACCCCGCACGGCCGCCCGUGUCACGUGUCGAGAGCGGGUCUUGGCAAAGUAUCCUAGCAGACUGAGACGGCUGCCUGGUCACGUGACUUUUUGGCCGGAGGACACCUGGCGUUCCAGCAGGCCCCAUCCGGGCUUGGAGGCGGAGGAGGCCACGCUCACGGGAUGAGAUCCUGGAAGACAUCAUCCGUGUCAGCGAGCGGGCGGAGGCGCGCAUCGCUGCUAGGCACGAGGAGGACCAGGCCCAG
rnacentral:lncRNA from 1 species